rnacentral:rRNA from 1 species
AUUGAACGCUGGCGGCAGGCCUAACACAUGCAAGUCGAACGAGUGGCGGACGGGUGAGUAAUGUCUGGGAAAGUGCCUGACGGAGGGGGAUAACUACUGGAAACGGUAGCAAAUACCGCCAACCAUCAGCUGUGCCCAGAUGGGAUUAGCUUGUUGGUGGGGUAACGGGUCAUCAAGGCGACGAUCCCUAGCUGGUCUGAGAGGCUGACCAGCCACACUGGAACUGAGACACGGUCCAGACUCCUACGGGAGGCAGCAGUGGGGAAUAUUGCACAAUGGGCGAAAGCCUGAUGCAGCCAUGCCGCGUGUAUGAAGAAGGCCUUCGGGUUGUAAAGUACUUUCAGCGGAGAGGCGUUACCCGCAGAAGAAGCACCGGCUAACUCCGUGCCAGCAGCCGCGGUAAUAC